UACGAAGGGGCUAGCGUUGCUCGGAAUCACUGGGCGUAAAGCGCACGUAGGCGGCUUCUAAGUCAGGGGUGAAAUCCUGGAGCUCAACUCCAGAACUGCCUUGAUACUGGAGGGCUUGAGUCCGGAAGAGGAGAGUGGGAAUUCCGUGGUGUAGCGGUGAAAUGCGCAGAGUAUCAGGAAGAACACCCGUGGCGAAGGCGGCUCUCUGGGACGGUACUGACGCGAGACGCGAAAGCGUGGGGGAGCGAACAGG
rnacentral:rRNA from 1 species